rnacentral:rRNA from 1 species
AGAGCGAACGCUGGCGGCAGGCCUAACACAUGCAAGUCGAGCGCCCGUAGCAAUACGGGAGCGGCAGACGGGAUAGUAACACGUGGGAACGCGCCCUUCGGUUCGGAAUAACUCAGGGAAACUUGAGCUAAUACCGGAUACGCCCUUACGGGGAAAGAUUUAUUGCCGAAGGAACGGCCCGCGUCCGAUUAGCUAGUUGGUGAGGUAAUGGCUCACCAAGGCGACGAUCGGUAGCUGGUCUGAGAGGAUGACCAGCAUCACUGGGACUGAGACACGGCCCAGACUCCUACGGGAGGCAGCAGUGGGGAAUAUUGGACAAUGGGCGCAAGCCUGAUCCAGCCAUGCCGCGUGGAUGAUGAAGGCCCUAGGGUUGUAAAGUCCUUUUAACGGGGAAGAUAAUGACGGUACCCGUAGAAUAAUCCCGGCUAACUUCGUGCCAGCAGCCGC